CCUACGGGGGGCAGCAGUGGGGAAUAUUGGACAAUGGGGGGAACCCUGAUCCAGCCAUGCCGCGUGUGUGAAGAAGGCCCUCGGGUUGUAAAGCACUUUCAGUGAGGAAGAACGCCUGGUGGUUAAUACCCAUCAGGAAAGACAUCACUCACAGAAGAAGCACCGGCUAACUCCGUGCCAGCAGCCGCGGUAAUACGGAGGGUGCGAGCGUUAAUCGGAAUUACUGGGCGUAAAGCGCGCGUAGGUGGCUUGAUAAGCCGGUUGUGAAAGCCCCGGGCUCAACCUGGGAACGGCAUCCGGAACUGUCAAGCUAGAGUGCAGGAGAGGAAGGUAGAGUUCCCGGUGUAGCGGUGAAAUGCGUAGAGAUCGGGAGGAAUACCAGUGGCGAAGGCGGCCUUCUGGACUGACACUGACACUGAGGUGCGAAAGCGUGGGUAGCAAACAGGAUUAGAUACCCGUGUAGUC
rnacentral:rRNA from 1 species